GACGAACGCUGGCGGCGCGCCUAACACAUGCAAGUCGAGCGAUGAAAUUUUAACCGAUCUCUUCGGAGAGAAGAUAAAAUGGAUUAGCGGCGGACGGGUGAGUAACACGUGAGAAACCUGCCUUUCACAAGGGGAUAGCCUCGGGAAGCCGGGAUUAAUACCCUAUGACACAUUUCCUUCGCAUGGAAGAAAUGUUAAAACUCCGGUGGUGAAAGAUGGUCUCGCGCCUGAUUAGCUAGUUGGUGGGGUAACGGCCCACCAAGGCCAUGAUCAGUAACCGGCCUGAGAGGGUGAACGGUCACAUUGGAACUGAGACACGGUGCAAACUCCUACGGGAGGCAGCAGUGGGGAAUAUUGCACAAUGGAGGAAACUCUGAUGCAGCGACGCCGCGUGAGCGAUGAAGGCUUUCGAGUCGUAAAGCUCUGUCCUAUGGGAAGAUAAUGACGGUACCAUAGGAGGAAGCCCCGGCUAACUACGUG
rnacentral:rRNA from 1 species